UGGGGGAUAUUGCACAAUGGGCGAAAGCCUGAUGCAGCGACGCCGCGUGGGGGAUGAAGGCCUUCGGGUUGUAAACUUCUUUUGCUCUGAACAAGGCGCACCAUGGGGUGUGUUGAGUGUAGGGGUUGAUUAGCGCCGGCUAACUACGUGCCAGCAGCCGCGGUAAUACGUAGGGCGCGAGCGUUGUCCGGAAUUAUUGGGCGUAAAGGGCUUGUAGGUGGCUGGUUGCGUCUGUCGUGAAAGCUCAUGGCUUAACUGUGGGUUUGCGGUGGGUACGAGCUGGCUUGAGUGCAGUAGGGGAGGCUGGAAUUCCUGGUGGAGCGGUGGAAUGCGCAGAUAUCAGGAGGAAUACCGGUGGCGAAGGCGGGUCUCUGGGCUGUUACUGACACUGAGGAGCGAAAGCAUGGGGAGCGAACAGG
rnacentral:rRNA from 1 species